AUUGAACGCUGGCGGCAGGCUUAACACAUGCGAGUCGAGCGGGGAAGGGUAGCUUGCUACCUAACCUAGCGGCGGACGGGUGAGUAAUGCUUAGGAAUCUGCCAUUUAGUGGGGGACAACAUUCCGAAAGGAAUGCUAAUACCGCAUACGUCCUACGGGAGAAAGCAGGGGAUCUUCGGACCUUGCGCUAAAUGAUGAGCCUAAGUCGGAUUAGCUAGUUGGUGGGGUAAAGGCCUACCAAGGCGACGAUCUGUAGCGGGUCUGAGCGGAUGAUACGCCACACUGGGACUGAGACACGGCCCAGACUCCUACGGGAGGCAGCAGUGGGGAAUAUUGGACAAUGGGCGGAAGCCUGAUCCAGCCAUGCCGCGUGUGUGAAGAAGGCCUUAUGGUUGUAAAGCACUUUAAGCGAGGAGGAGGCUACCUAGAUUAAUACUCUAGGAUAGUGGACGUUACUCGCAGAAUAAGCACCGGCUAACUCUGUGCCAGCCGCCGCAGUAAUAC
rnacentral:rRNA from 1 species